CCUACGGGUGGCUGCAGUGAGGAAUAUUGGUCAAUGGGCGCGAGCCUGAACCAGCCAAGUAGCGUGAAGGAUGACUGCCCUACGGGUUGUAAACUUCUUUUAUAGAGGAAUACAGUGUGGCACGUGUGCCUUUUUGUAUGUACUUUAUGAAUAAGGAUCGGCUAGCUCCGUGCCAGCAGCCGCGGUAAUACGGAGGAUCCGAGCGUUGUCCGGAUUUCUUGGGUUGAAAGGGAGCGUAGAUGGGUUGUUAAGUCAGUUGUGAAAGUUUGCGGCUCAACCGUAAAAUUGCAAUUGAUACUGGCAGCCUUGAGUACAGUUGAGGUAGGCGGAAUUCGUGGUGUAGCGGUGAAAUGCUUAGAUAUCACGAAGAACUCCGAGUGCGAAGGCAGCUUACUAAACUGCCACUGACAUUGAUGCUCGAAAGUGUGGGUAUCAAACAGGAUUAGAUACCCCUGUAGUC
rnacentral:rRNA from 1 species